rnacentral:rRNA from 1 species
UACGUAGGGGGCAAGCGUUAUCCGGAUUCACUGGGUGUAAAGGGAGCGUAGACGGCCAUGCAAGUCUGGAGUGAAAGCCCGGGGCCCAACCCCGGGACUGCUCUGGAAACUGCGGCGCUGGAGUACGGGAGGGGCAGGCGGAAUUCCUGGUGUAGCGGUGAAAUGCGUAGAUAUCAGGAGGAACACCGGCGGCGAAGGCGGCCUGCUGGACCGUGACUGACGUUGAGGCUCGAGAGCGUGGGGAGCAAACAGG